rnacentral:rRNA from 1 species
UGUCGUGUAAGUUACGACCCGCACGAAAGGCGUAACGAGUUGAUAACUGUCUUGAACUUCCACUCGGCGAAAUAGCGAUGGCCGUGAAGACGCGGCCUAUAUGCACCAGGACAAAAAGACCCCGUGGAGCUUUACUGCAGUUUGACAUUGAUUCGAAUUAAUUAAUUGUCUAGGAUAGGAGGGAGAGUAUGCCGCAAGGUGUACUCAACAGUGUAAUACCUCUCUUUGAUUGAUCUCGCAUCUUACCUAAGAGCCUUGCAAACAGGUUCGGGGACAAUGUUUGAUGGGCAGUUUCGCUGGGGCGGUGUCCUGCUAAAGAGUAACGCAGGAGCACAAAGGUCGGCUUAGCGUGGAUGG